UACAGAGGUCUCAAGCGUUGUUCGGAAUUACUGGGCGUAAAGGGCUCGUAGGUGGCCAACUAAGUCAGACGUGAAAUCCCCAGGCUCAACUUGGGAACUGCGUCUGAUACUGGAUGGCUUGAAUUCGGGAGAGGGAUGCAGAGUUCCAGGUGUAGCGGUGAAAUGCGCAGAUAUCAGGAGGAACACCGGUGGCGAAGGCGGGUCUCUGGGCAACAACUGACGCUGAGGAGCGAAAGCGUGGGGAGCGAACAGG
rnacentral:rRNA from 1 species